GACAAAGUUGGGACAAGCUCCAGCUGCGCAGCUAGGCAUUGGUCAGCAGGUUGCUGGAAGCAGGAUUUUUCUAGCCUUCCGGGGUGCCUCGGGUGGAAGCCGGCUAUUUCAAGUAGAAAUGCCCACGAGAUUGAUAGCUCCUUCAACUUCCCAAAUGCCUUGUUCUUUUAACUAGCUCCUGCUGCAAAGAGGCGAUCUAGCCACUGAAUUAAGCCAAUUACCUGAAAUAAAAGUUCUUACAAGGUGAAGUUAGUUUAAA